rnacentral:lncRNA from 1 species
CGGGCUCGCGGCUCCGUCCAUCCCCGCCCGCCGCCGGCAAUGUGCCGUCCGCGGCCGUCGGGGUCUACUCCCAGUCUGACAAAGCCAUCGUCAGUGCGUGCAACGUCGCCGAUGAACAAGAGGACAAGGAAGUCUCCGGUCCACCCCAGCGGCACCGUGGACGGCUGACCACUUCACCAGCCAUGGCGACGCAGGUACGUUGCCCAGAUGGAGGAGAAAGGCGAGGUCCGGUUUGCGUCCCGGGUGUGGCGUUUCCGUGUAGUAGCGGCCAGCGAGCAAGCUAGGUGAGUCUUGAAUCACCCUAAGUGUUUUUUACAUGCUUCAAUGUUCGCACUCAUCAGUUUGCCAGGUUGCCAUUCCUCCAAAAAUGUAUGUGCAUAGUAUCCCUCUGUGUCAAUGUUAACGAGUCUAGAAUGAAUGAGGGGAGUGAUGGCACUUUUAGAAGUUCCAUAUUAAUGCAAGUAAAUCUUCUGAAGGUAGGAGGAUUUCUGUGUUUUGGUCAACAGAACGCUACCAGGAGCUGUCCUUCAGUUUUGGAAACAAAUAUGCAUAUGAAUUCAGCUUAUCUAAAAUUUCAUCUGGAACCUUUAGUGAUUAGUGAGCCUUAGCUUUGCAAUCAUAUGGGUUGAAUGUAACUGCAAAAGAUGCGUAUUCAAAUAGGUUAUGUGGAAAAUAAUAUACUACAAGACAAGUUUAUAUUGAGCUAUCCCUCCAAGCUUGUGUUAAGUCAUUAAGUGCUGCAAAUAUUAUAGGCCAUUUCAUAAUCAGAUAAUGUUAAAUAAGGGAGAGAAUGUAGCCGACCAGCUUCAGCUAUGGCAAUAAAACUCUAACAAUAUUAGCAGUUACAACACCCACCGUUUGAGGAGAAAGCAAGAAGAACUGCUAGUGCAUAUAUCUUAGUCAGGCGCUGUGCUAAGAUCUCACAGUUAACAUAGAAAGCUGGAAGGAUUGGCUGCUGACUCCUCUGCAAAAAAAGAAAAAAACAGACAGAAUGCUGUCGCGGAUGAAUAAAGUUCAACAGUUAAUUAGUUUAUGUACUACUAUACUAGUAUGGUACAUUGGUACUCCCUCCAUUCCUACUUAUAAUUCACUUUGGCUUUGUCCUAACUCAAAGCUCUCUAAUUUUGACCAAGUUUUUAGAAAAAAUAUUAAUAAGAUCAAAUAAAUGCACUAUUAAGACAUAUUAUGGUGAUUUUGACGAAACUAAUUUGAUAUUAAUAUAUUAUAAGUGUUGAUGUAUUUUUUUAAUAGACUUCAUCAAAGUUUGUGAGGUUCGACUGAGGGUAAAACUAAAGUGAACCCUAAUUUGAAAUGGUGGGAGUAAAGUACGAAAUAUUUUAUUUUGUAAGUAUAUUAUAUAAUAAUAUACUCACAUGAACAGUAUAAGUAAUUUUGUACUCUCUUCGUUCUUUUUAGGUGUGAUGUUUUUUUUACUUCUUUGCAGUCUAGAAUAUACAUCUUUGACCUCUCCUUUUUGUAACUUCACAUAAAUAUAUGUGAAUAAAAUUGUAAUUUUAGGAAAGCAUUUUGAAAGAAAAAAAAAAUCAGUUUUUAGUAUAACUGAAAUUGAUAGUUUUAGAUACACUAGUGGUUAAACUUGUUUUACGGCAUGGACUAUGAGUUAAACAAAAAAAAGUAGGGAGUGUAUUUUAGCAAUCAAAAAUCAAAAUUAAGGAAGUUUGACGAUGCAAUAAAAUGUUAUUUUUUUUGUAUGAAGAUAAUAUAGUGUAUAUGCUUCAUUCUGAACUUCCACUGUUGAUAUAGUUAAAAGGUGAAGGGUAGUAGUUAAGUUGCCAGUUUGUAAGGAAUCGGUCAAAUCCAGUCACUCUGUUUUGGAAGCCAAUCUUCAGGCAAAGCUUGAAGUGUAGAUCUCAUUACCAACUAAGUAAUAAAAUGCUCUAAAAAAAAACUAAGUAAUAAAACAGUGCCAAGUUGUUUGAGAAACCAAUGGGGCAUAAAACAAAAGUUGGUUGAUACAUCCGUAAUAUUUUAAUUGUAGUUACAGGAAAACAAAAUUGCUGACAUCCUUGCCAAAGGAGCUAUAAAGUUCCCAGCUGAUGAAUUAAAGGUACUUGCUCUACUGUCAAGGAUGAGUGGCACUGCCUACUGUAACAAAACUGGUCAUCAAGAGCCAGCAUUUUGUAAAAUCACUUGCACCCAAUUAAGUUUUAGUGGUCGUUUGCGUUAAAAAAAGGAAGUGGUCAAUACUGUGAAAUAAAUAAAUAGUCUUUUGGCAGGAUAAGGCUGGACAUCGGUAUUGAGUAACCUUUCUACCACAAUAUAUUUCUGUACUUUUCCAAAAAAAAUGCGUGGCUACUUGAUGUAAUCCGUGUGUUUCAGAUGUGAGGAAGAAACACUCAUUUUUUGAAAUAUAUGUUUGCUAUUAUUUUGAAACUCCAGUGAUCUCUUGUGAGGAAUGUACGAUCAGGUACGAUAAAUGUGUAGUACAAGAAAAAUGAUAGUUGCAGCAUCUAUCUCAUUUGGCCAUUGAUUAAGGUUCAAACUUGCGCUAUCUCUUUCGAAACAUUCUUUGUAAACCUGUGGGCCAUGCACUAGGUUUACAUUGCCAUCCACUGAAGUGAUAGCACAAGAAAUCUUGCUCUAGUGUUUCAAAAGUGGGGACCUAGCACGUCAUGCCUUGGCCUGUAGUUGCUAGCCACAAGCCCACAACCAGAACCUUCAAGUCUUCCUUUUUCUGUACAAUAUCUGAACAAAUUAGUUAUUACUCGUGUUACUGGAUAUGUGCCUAAGAUCUAGGAAAUCAUCAAACAUAAUGCUUGACCUUCCUUUAAGCUCUUUGGGAGUGUGAGAGAUCAUUUUUGUGGUUAAAAACCAUGAAUAACUAGGAAAGGAAUUGCAAACAGAGAUUAGUUUGAGCAUGUAGGCCUCAAAAUUGGCUAAAAUUUUUUAUGCUCGUUUCAUUAUAUUUUUAGUCCCCACAGUGCUUCACACUAUGUGGUCAUAAUAAUCAAGUUAUCAAUUACUUAAGUGAAAAGUGGGGAUGGACUUCUGUGUUUGUGGCUAUUAGCGUGUUUGAGAAAAAUUUAUGGCUAUUAACUAUGAAAAACUGAAUCAAUACUUGUUACAUUUUUAUUAAAUGGCAGAUUUGCUGUAUCUAGAGCAAGAGAAUGAGAACUCAUGUAUGCUAGAAGGAAAACCUGUGCUCCUUCAAAAGUCUCAGUGCCAAUAUGUCCUGUCUAUUCUGAUGUUGUUUACUACUAUAUAUAUAAACUUCUGCCCAAAUGAUAGUUUC